rnacentral:rRNA from 1 species
GACGAACGCUGGCGGCGUGCUUAACACAUGCAAGUCGAACGGAAAGGCCCUGCUUUUGUGGGGUGCUCGAGUGGCGAACGGGUGAGUAACACGUGAGUAACCUGCCCUUGACUUUGGGAUAACUUCAGGAAACGGGGGCUAAUACCGUAUAGGAGCUCCUGCUGCAUGGUGGGGGUUGGAAAGUUUCGGCGGUUGGGGAUGGACUCGCGGCUUAUCAGCUUGUUGGUGGGGUAGUGGCUUACCAAGGCUUUGACGGGUAGCCGGCCUGGGAGGGUGGCCGGCCACAAUGGGACUGAGAUACGGACCAGACUCGUACGGGAGGCAGCAGUGGGGAGUAUUACACAAUGAGCGGAAGCCUGAUGCAGCAACGCCGCGUGCGGGAUGACGGCCUUCGGGUUGUAAACCGCUUUCGCCUGUGACGAAGCGUGAGUGACGGUAAUGGGUAAAGAAGCACCGGCUAACUACGUG